GCCCGGGUGGCGGAAUUGGCAGACGCGCUAGCUUGAGGGGCUAGUAGGAGCAAUCCUGUGCUGGUUCGAAUCCAGUCCCGGGCA
rnacentral:tRNA from 1 species